CACGGAGUUUAAGAAAUAAAUGAAGACUUUGAAAUGUUUACCAAAUUGCCCUUUAAAAAGUAGCCUCUUUUUUCUCUCUCCUCAUAAAUGUAUUGGAGUAUUAUUUUAAGAUUAAGUGGGACCAACAAGGAUAAAAGAGGAAUUGUACCUUUAUAAACUUACCAUAUAAGGAAAUGUGACAUUCUUUUUGGGACUGACCAAAAAGG
rnacentral:lncRNA from 1 species